rnacentral:rRNA from 1 species
AAUCAACGCUGGCGGCGUGCCUCAGACAUGCAAGUCGAACGAUUAAGACUCUCUUCGGAGAGUGCAUAAAGUGGCGCACGGGUGAGUAACACGUAAGUAAUCUACCCUCGAGUGGGGAAUAACGUCCGGAAACGGACGCUAAUACCGCAUAAUGCAGCGGCACCGCAAGGUGACAGUUGUUAAAGAUUUAUCGCUUGGGGAGGAGCUUGCGGCAGAUUAGCUAGNGGUAAGGUAAUGGCUUACCAAGGCUACGAUCUGUAACCGGUCUAAGAGGACGGUCGGUCACACUGACACUGAAUAACGGGUCAGACUCCUACGGGAGGCAGCAGUCGGGAAUUUUGGGCAAUGGGCGAAAGCCUGACCCAGCAACGCCGCGUGAAGGAUGAAGUAUUUCGGUAUGUAAACUUCGAAAGAAUGGGAAGAAUUAAUGACGGUACCAUUUAUAAGGUCCGGCUAACUACGUGCCAGCAGCCGCCGUAAG